rnacentral:rRNA from 1 species
UACGUAGGGUGCGAGCGUUGUCCGGAAUUAUUGGGCGUAAAGAGCUCGUAGGCGGUGUGUCGCGUCGGCCGUGAAAACCUGCAGCUUAACUGUGGGCUUGCGGUCGAUACGGGCAGGCUAGAGUGCGGUAGGGGAGACUGGAAUUCCUGGUGUAGCGGUGAAAUGCGCAGAUAUCAGGAGGAACACCGGUGGCGAAGGCGGGUCUCUGGGCCGUAACUGACGCUGAGGAGCGAAAGCGCGGGGAGCGAACAGG